GACGAACGCUGGCGGCGUGCCUAAUACAUGCAAGUAGAACGCACGGUUUAUACCGUAGCUUGCUACACCAUAGACUGUGAGUUGCGAACGGGUGAGUAACGCGUAGGUAACCUGCCUGGUAGCGGGGGAUAACUAUUGGAAACGAUAGCUAAUACCGCAUAAUAUUAAUUAUUGCAUGAUAAUUAAUUGAAAGGUGCAAUUGCACCACUACCAGAUGGACCUGCGUUGUAUUAGCUAGUAGGUGAGGUAACGGCUCACCUAGGCGACGAUACAUAGCCGACCUGAGAGGGUGAUCGGCCACACUGGGACUGAGACACGGCCCAGACUCCUACGGGAGGCAGCAGUAGGGAAUCUUCGGCAAUAGACGAAAGUCUGACCGAGCAACGCCGCGUGAGGGAAGAAGGUUUUCGGAUCGUAAAGCUCUGUUGUAAGAGAAGAACGGGUGUGAGAGUGGAAAGUUCACACUGUGACGGUAUCUUACCAGAAAGGGACGGCUAACUACGUG
rnacentral:rRNA from 1 species